GAUGAACGCUGGCGGCGUGCCUAAUACAUGCAAGUCGAGCGAACGGACGAGAAGCUUGCUUCUCUGAUGUUAGCGGCGGACGGGUGAGUAACACGUGGAUAACCUACCUAUAAGACUGGGAUAACUUCGGGAAACCGGAGCUAAUACCGGAUAAUAUUUUGAACCGCAUGGUGCAAAAGUGAAAGACGGUCGUGCUGUCACGUAUAGAUGGAUCCGCGCUGCAUUAGCUGGUUGGUAAGGUAACGGCUUACCAAGGCAACGAUGCAUAGCCGACCUGAGAGGGUGAUCGGCCACACUGGAACUGAGCCACGGUCCAGACUCCUAAGGGAGGCAGCAGUAGGGAAUCUUCCGCAAUGGGGGAAAGCCUGACGGAGCAACGCCGCGUGAGUGAUGAAGGUCUUCGGAUCGUAAAACUCUGUUAUUAGGGAAGAACAUAUUUGUACGUAACUGUGCACAUCGUGACGGUACCUAAUCAGAAAGCCACGGCUAACUACGUG
rnacentral:rRNA from 1 species